GAGGGUAUAGCUCAAGUGGUAGAGUGCAUGUUUAGCAUGCAUGAGGUCCUGGGUUCAAUCCCCAGUACCUCCA
rnacentral:tRNA from 1 species